rnacentral:lncRNA from 10 species
GCUUUUAUGAGCUGUAACACUCACCGCGAAGGUCCGCAGCUUCACUCCUGAAGCCAGCGAGACCACGAGCCUACUGGGAGGAACGAACAACUCCCGACGCGCCGCCUUAAGAGCUGUAACACUCACCGCGAAGGUCUGCAGCUUCACUCCUGAGCCAGCGAGACCACGAACCCACCAGAAGGAAAAAACUCCGAACACAUCUGAACAUCAGAAGCAACAAACUCCGGACACGCCGCCUUUAAGAACUGUAACACUCACUGCGAGGGUCCGCGGCUUCAUUCUUGAAGUGAGUGAGACCAAGAACCCACCAGUUCUGGACACAAUUUCAAGUCCUCAGGUGCCAUCAAUAUUCUGAAAAUGGCAGUGAUUUUUAUUCAACCUGUAUAAGGCACUUUCACCAUGUACCUGGAAGCAACAUCUACAUCUUUUUCAGUUUUCCUCUGUCCACUAUGAAGGACUUUGUGACCACAUUCUGACUCUGAUGAGAUCCUGCCCAGAAUUGACCUGAACCCCAAUAAUUCACCUUUCUCUCAGUUUCUUCUACGCCAGGUGUGUGCUUAGCUCCAUGACAAAAGGUGACAGCUUAUUCUGCAGCACACACACAUCAUCAAAGUGGGAGGUGGUGAGACUGGCACACUGACAGUCUGUCCUAGCAGAUUUCAGCUCACACUGCAAUCUAGAUGCUGGGGACACAAGGUCCACCUUCCAGGAAUAUGGCCAUGACACCAGAAAUCACAAACAUGAUGAGAAUGGAAUGACUGGGGAAGAAGUGCCAGAUGCUUCACUUGUAAAUGAAGACCCAGCCUCUGGGGAUGCAGAUACCACCUCCCUGAAGAAGCUGAAUAUCUGCAGAUAAGUGGAGUUCACCAAUGAUGAGGAGCGGGAUGGAGAAAGGAGGUAGGGAGAGUCAUCCAAGGAACAUGAGCAACAUGUUAAAAGCCAAGUGGUUUAAUUUCUGGAGAUGGUGAACCCAAGAGGCUCUGCUGGGAGACAACAAAAAUAAUGAAGAAUUGAACCAGAGUCCGGUGAAUAUCAGCACUGGGACCAGUUAGCAGAGGAAAAGGAAAGAAUAAAAGCGAAAAGAAUGAAGAGUCAUAUGAUUACCAACUUUUCCUUUUUCAUAUAAAUUGAGUGUAUAUGGGUCUGGAACAACCUGAAUUUCCAUCAAGUCCUGGCUAACCUCAUUAUGUCCUAUGAAUAUUUUUGACUAAUCCCACUUUACAUUAAUCUGUAUUGUGAAUGUGGAUAUUGAAUUAUAUUUCUUUGUAAUCCCAUUAUCCAAAAUCCAGUUCAGAGACUAUUAGUUACCAAUGUUCACUGUGAAGGAAAAAAAAAAAAAAAAAGCUCAGAGGAUAAACAUGUGAUAUGGUUUGGCUGUGUCCCCACCCAAAUAUCAUCUUGAAUUGUAGCUCCCAUAAUUCCCACGUGUUGUGGGAGGGACCCGGUGGGAGAUAAUUGUAUCAUGGGGGUGGUUCCCCCAUACUAUUCUCAUAGUAGUGAAUAAGUCUCACAAAAUCUGAUGGUUUUAUGAGGGAAAACCCCUUUCACCUGGUUCUCAUUCUCUUCUCUGGUCUGUCGUCAUGUAAGACAUGCCUUUCACCUUCUCCACCAUGACUGUGAGGCCUCCCCAGCCACGUGGAACUGUGAGCCCAUUAAACCUCUUUCACUUAUAAAU